GUCUUUUUGUGUACCAUAAAAAGUCGUGCCUUCCCAGUGGGUUUUAACCUAAACGGAUGCGGUAAAUCGUGCUAAGGUAGCUAAAUUAUGGCCCAUUAAUUGUGGGUCUUGCGAACGGCUUGACGAGUUCCCUACUGUCUCAAAGUUGUUUUGGUGAACUUGAAUUGGAUGUGUAAAUGCUUCCAUGAGUGAGAAAGACGAGAAGACCCCGUGAAGUUAGAAAUUUUUUAUCUAGUAUGAAUUUUCAGUUUUUUUUGAGUUUGUAGAUGUAAGUUGAGAUCUCGAGAGUUGAAAAAUAUGGUUCUAUUGUUUUGGCUGGGGCAGCAAGAAGGCAAAACUAGACCUUCUUUAUUAAAAAACGGGUGCGUUACGACCCAUAGUUUUGAAAGGAAUGAUUAUCAGAAGAAGUUACUCCGGGGAUAACAGCGUUAUCCGUCCUGAUAGUCCUUAUAGAUGGGCGGGUUUGCGACCUCGAUGUUGGCUCUGGUUAUCCUGAGGCUUGCAGGAGGUCUCGAGGGUUGGUUUGUUCGCCCAUUAAAAUCCG
rnacentral:rRNA from 1 species